rnacentral:misc_RNA from 1 species
AUUUAUAAUUUUAAAUUCUUUUAAUACAGCUCAAGCAUCCAGUUCACUUUUCAAGGGGUUGGAAAGACAGCAAAAACCUUAUAGAAGCAGGGUAUGAGUACUGCUUGAAAUCUACAUUCGGUAUAAAAGUUAUUAACCUCACUCAAGAUACAAUUUUUAUUUCAAAUAAAAGAGGCAAGAUAUUUGAAGUUGAUCCGGAGAGUUUUUUUAACCGUUUUCCAAGCACAGAGAAAAGUGUGUGGGGUGUAAUAAUAAUUGGUGUGUCAUCAGGAGCUGCAUUGAACAAAUCUCUCACCGGAUUAUGUUCAUCGUGCAACAAGACAGGUACAAGUAGUUAUUGCGGAGAGAGUUCGGGUGGAAAUAAUCGUUUUUAAUAUUAUAUUAGCAUUUACAAUCAGCUUGUUACAAUUUUUUUAUAUAAAAUCAAAUAAGUUAAUAAAUAGUCCGUUUGUAGCUC